AUUGAACGCUGGCGGCAGGCCUAACACAUGCAAGUCGAACGAGUGGCGGACGGGUGAGUAAUGUCUGGGAAACUGCCUGAUGGAGGGGGAUAACUACUGGAAACGGUAGCUAAUACCGCAUACCAUCAGAUGUGCCCAGAUGGGAUUAGCUUGUUGGUGGGGUAACGGCGCACCAAGGCGACGAUCCCUAGCUGGUCGGAGAGGAUGACCUGCCAAAAUGGAACGGAGACACGGUCCAGAGUCCUACGGGAGGCAGCAGUGGGGAAUAUUGCACAAUGGGCGAAAGCCUGAUGCAGCCAUGCCGCGUGUAUGAAGAAGGCCUUCGGGUUGUAAAGUACUUUCAGCGGGGAGGCGUUACCCGCAGAGGAAGCCCCGGCUAACUCCGUGCCAGCAGCCGCGGUAAUAC
rnacentral:rRNA from 1 species